rnacentral:rRNA from 1 species
GACGAACGCUGGCGGCGUGCCUAAUACAUGCAAGUCGAGCGGAUCUUCCCUUCGGGGAAGGUUAGCGGCGGACGGGUGAGUAACACGUAGGCAACCUGCCUGCAAGACCGGGAUAACAUUCGGAAACGAAUGCUAAUACCGGAUACGCAGUAUCCUCGCAUGGGGAGACUGGGAAAGACGGUGCAAGCUGUCACUUGCAGAUGGGCCUGCGGUGCAUUAGCUAGUUGGCGAGGUAACGGCUCACCAAGGCGACGAUGCAUAGCCGACCUGAGAGGGUGAUCGGCCACACUGGGACUGAGACACGGCCCAGACUCCUACGGGAGGCAGCAGUAGGGAAUCUUCCGCAAUGGACGAAAGUCUGACGGAGCAACGCCGCGUGAGUGAUGAAGGUUCUCGGAUCGUAAAGCUCUGUUGCCAGGGAAGAACAGCCGGAAGAGUAACUGCUUUCGGAAUGACGGUACCUGAGAAGAAAGCCCCGGCUAACUACGUGCCAGCAGCCGCCGUAAAAC